rnacentral:rRNA from 1 species
AGCGGAGGAAAAGAAACUAACAAGGAUUCCCCUAGUAGCGGCGAGCGAAGCGGGAAGAGCUCAAAUUUAUAAUCUGGCACCUUCGGUGUCCGAGUUGUAAUCUCUAGAAAUGUUUUCCGCGUUGGACCGCACACAAGUCUGUUGGAAUACAGCGGCAUAGUGGUGAGACCCCCGUAUAUGGUGCGGACGCCCAGCGCUUUGUGAUACAUUUUCGAAGAGUCGAGUUGUUUGGGAAUGCAGCUCAAAUUGGGUGGUAAAUUCCAUCUAAAGCUAAAUAUUGGCGAGAGACCGAUAGCGAACAAGUACCGUGAGGGAAAGAUGAAAAGCACUUUGGAAAGAGAGUUAACAGUACGUGAAAUUGUUGGAAGGGAAACGCUUGAAGUCAGACUUGCUUGCCGAGCAAUCGGUUUGCAGGCCAGCAUCAGUUUUCCGGGAUGGAUAAUGGUAGAGAGAAGGUAGCAGUUUCGGCUGUGUUAUAGCUCUCUGCUGGAUACAUCUUGGGGGACUGAGGAACGCAGUGUGCCUUUGGCGGGGGUUUCGACCUCUUCACACUUAGGAUGCUGG